rnacentral:rRNA from 1 species
GGAUUAGAUACCCUGGUAGUCCACGCCGUAAACGAUGAGUGCUAGGUGUCGGGGGUCAAACCUCGGUGCCGCAGUUAACACAUUAAGCACUCCGCCUGGGGAGUACGGUGGCAACACUGAAACUCAAAGGAAUUGACGGGGACCCGCACAAGCAGCGGAGCAUGUGGUUUAAUUCGAUGCAACGCGAAGAACCUUACCAGGGCUUGACAUCCCCCGGACCGAACUAGAGAUAGUUCCUUCCCUUCGGGGACUGGGGAGACAGGUGGUGCAUGGUUGUCGUCAGCUCGUGUCGUGAGAUGUUGGGUUAAGUCCCGCAACGAGCGCAACCCUUGUCUUUAGUUGCAAACAGUUAGGCUGUGCACUCUAAAGAGACUGCCGAUGACAAAUCGGAGGAAGGUGGGGAUGACGUCAAAUCAUCAUGCCCUUUAUGUCCUGGGCUACACACGUGCUACAAUGGUCGGUACAACGGGCAGCCACUUAGUGAUAAGGAGCUAAUCCCACAAAACCGAUCCCAGUUCGGAUUGUAGGCUGCAACUCGCCUACAUGAAGCC